rnacentral:piRNA from 1 species
UAUAGCCUUUUGCAUUUAACU